GGAGAAAAAAACACUAUGGGACAUGGGAGUGGGGGGAAACUAUGGGACUAGGGAAGAGGGGGGAAAGAACACUAAAAAGAGGGAGUUGAGAGGAACAUUAAGCGGGGAGGGGCACUAAAAGAGAAGGGAAGUUUUUCAUAUUAGAUUAAAUUCAUUAAAAAGUCUGAUAUUAAUAAAAUUUUAGGAAAAAAAAACUUUAAAAUCAUUUAGGGAAAAGAGUCAUUUUCGGUUUUCGGCCAAGGGCAUUCUGAAUUUUCGGUUUUGGACCAGAAUUUUCAUUUCGGUGCAUCCCUAGUUGUCUCCCCUACUUUUUAUCCUGAACCACAUGGUAGCUUUUUCCCUUAAAG